rnacentral:rRNA from 1 species
UACGAAGGGGGCUAGCGUUGCUCGGAAUCACUGGGCGUAAAGGGUGCGUAGGCGGGUCUUUAAGUCAGGGGGGAAAUCCUGGAGCUCAACUCCAGAACUGCCUUUGAUACUGAAGAUCUUGAGUUCGGGAGAGGUGAGUGGAACUGCGAGUGUAGAGGUGAAAUUCGUAGAUAUUCGCAAGAACACCAGUGGCGAAGGCGGCUCACUGGCCCGAUACUGACGCUGAGGCACGAAAGCCAGGGGAGCGAAUGGG